rnacentral:rRNA from 1 species
UACGGAGGGUGCCAGCGUUACCCGGAUUCACUGGGCGUAAAGGGCGCGUAGGCGGCCUGCUCAGUCCGGCGCUAAAGCCCGGGGCUCAACCCCGGAAGCGCGCUGGAUACUGGUGGGCUCGACGGCUGGAGAGGGCAGUGGAAUUCCCGGAGUAGCGGUGAAAUGCGCAGAUACCGGGAGGAACGCCGAUGGCGAAGGCAGCUGCCUGGACAGCCCGUGACGCUGAGGCGGGAAAGCGUGGGGAGCAAACCGG